CCUACGGGAGGCAGCAGUGAGGAAUAUUGGUCAAUGGACGAGAGUCUGAACCAGCCAAGUAGCGUGAAGGAUGACUGCCCUAUGGGUUGUAAACUUCUUUUAUAUGGGAGUAAAAUGUUCCACGUGUGGGAUUUUGUAUGUACCAUAUGAAUAAGGAUCGGCUAACUCCGUGCCAGCAGCCGCGGUAAUACGGAGGAUCCGAGCGUUAUCCGGAUUUAUUGGGUUUAAAGGGAGCGUAGGUGGAUUGUUAAGUCAGUUGUGAAAGUUUGCGGCUCAACCGUAAAAUUGCAGUUGAAACUGGCAGUCUUGAGUACAGUAGAGGUGGGCGGAAUUCGUGGUGUAGCGGUGAAAUGCUUAGAUAUCACGAAGAACUCCGAUUGCGAAGGCAGUUCACUGGACUGCAACUGACACUGAGGCUCGAAAGUGUGGGUAUCAAACAGGAGUAGAUACCCGAGUAGUC
rnacentral:rRNA from 1 species